rnacentral:lncRNA from 1 species
GAUAUCUGGUGAGACAUAGCCUCCUUAGCAAGGGCUAUGGUGCCAUUAUUUUUAUAGUAUAGUAUCAUGAUAUCUGAUGGUAUGACAUCCAGUUCUGCAACUAACAUUAGAACCAGAAUGCAUCCUACACAUUUACAGUGUGCUCAGCUUCCAUCAAUCGAUUAUUUGAAAUCCUUUCAAGAUAUCGACAUAAGAACACACCUAUGAUAUAGACAUUCUAUCAUCAAUAUCAGACAUAAAAUUUGAAUUGGUGUAUUCUCCCACUUCUAGCUAUGAUCCUUCUCUAAAAUUAAGAACAAAUCUUUAGUUCUUCUCAAGUACUCAAGAAUAGUUUCACAGCAAUCCAGCACUCUCAGUCUGGAUACAACUGAUAU